GCCGGCGUAGCUCAGUCUGGUGGAGCAUCCGGCUGUUAACCGGACGGUCACCGGUUCAAAUCCGGUCGCCGGCG
rnacentral:tRNA from 1 species